rnacentral:rRNA from 1 species
UACGGGGGGGGCAAGCGUUGUUCGGAAUUACUGGGCGUAAAGGGCUCGUAGGCGGCCAACUAAGUCAGACGUGAAAUCCCUCGGCUUAACUGGGGAACUGCGUCUGAUACUGGAUGGCUUGAGUUUGGGAGAGGGAUGCGGAAUUCCAGGUGUAGCGGUGAAAUGCGUAGAUAUCUGGAGGAACACCGGUGGCGAAGGCGGGUCUCUGGACCGAUACUGACGCUGAGGAGCGAAAGCGUGGGGAGCGAACAGG